ensembl:snRNA U6 U6 spliceosomal RNA
GCGCUCGCUUUGGCAGCACAUACACUAAAUUUGGAAUGAUACAGAGAACAUUAGCAUGGCCCUUGUGCAAGGAUGACACACAAAUUCAUAAAGCAUUCUAUAUUUUU